rnacentral:misc_RNA from 1 species
AGCUGGAUCAUUUUUCCGAAAAUGUUACCAAACAACAAAACCCGGAGCAAAAAAAACUACACAAUACUUGUGUGUCUCUUUUGUCUCUCCAACAGUUUAUCAGUCUCUCUUUCGCUUCUCGGAGCGAUUGGGGGAUUACUUUGCCGCUUCACUCCGGUGAAGUAUGGCCUCCACAACGUGUCGCGAUGGAUGACUUGGCUUCCCAUUUCGUUGAAGAACGCAGUAAAGUGCGAUAAGUAGUAUCAAUUGCAGAAUCACUCAAUUACUGAAUCUUUGAACGCAAAAGGCGCCCGGGAGAAGCUCUUCGUGAGUCAUCCCCGUGCAUGCCGUAUUCUCAGUGUCGAUCAAAAACAAAAAAAGAACCAUUACAUUAUCACGAAGUCCGGGAGGUUUUCUAUAACCACUUGAGAUUCGUGUGGUUCAAAGGAAAAAAAACAAUGAAAAACAAACACAAUUUUUUUCACAGACCUGAGUGCGGCAGGACUACCCGCCGAACUUAAGCAUAUUACUCAGCGGAGGAAAAGAAAACAACCGUGAUUCCCUCAGUCAGCGGCGAGCGAAGAGGGACCGAACUCGCUGCCGAAUCGGGCCUUAAAGGUCUUGAGUUGUGGCAGAAUAUCGUGCAGUGAAUGGUUUUCGGGAUCGGCGAAAUUCAACGUGCAAAGCAAACCCAUUGUUGAAUACAACCCUUCAUGUGAGUAUUGAGCCAAAGGAGGUGUUAGCCCAUUCAGCUGACCACCCGAUUCCUCAUUGCAUGGUUCAAAGAGAGUAGCACUGCUUGGGAAUGCAGUGUUAAGCGGCAGGUAUGUGUCUGCCAAAGUUAAAUACAGAUUGGGAAGACCGAUAUCGAACAAGUAGCGUGAGCGAAAGUUUGAAAAGCACUUUGGAAAGAGAGUGACAUAGAACCUGAAGUCGUGACAAUGAUAAGGAAAGUACCUCCAUUUUAUGUCAAAACCAGCUCUGUUGCAUUAUCCCCAGUCCCAUGGUGGUAAAAAGUGUAAAAAGGAGCCUGGUGAAAUGAGCGGAGAUAAAGUCAUCCACACCGGUUACGGCGAGUGGGUGGCUUCUCCGUGAACUCGAUGUUGACGAACGAAAAUGGGGUGCCUUCACCCGUCUUGAAACACGGACCAAGGAGUCAAACAGACACGCAAGAGGGAAGAUAUUGUUGCCAGUACUUCUCUCGUACUGAAAGGGUUUUUUUAUUGGUGUGCACACAAAAAUGCCCAACACCAACCGGUCCCUUGCGGAUUGAGUUUGAGUGUGCCUGUUUGGACCCGAAAGGUGGUGAACUAUGCCUGAACAAGGUGAAGCCCGGGGAAACCCGGGUGGAAGCCUGUAGCGGUGCUGACGUGCAAAUCGCUCGCAUGAUUUGGGUAUCGGAGCGAAAGACUCAUCGAACCACCUAGUAGCUGGUUCACAU